rnacentral:rRNA from 1 species
CACGUAGGGACCAAGCGUUGUCCGGAUUUACUGGGCGUAAAGGGCGCGUAGGCGGCCAGCACAAGUCAGUUGUGAAAUCUCCGAGCUUAACUCGGAAAGGUCAACUGAUACUGUGCGGCUAGAGUGCGGAAGGGGCAACUGGAAUUCUUGGUGUAGCGGUGAAAUGCGUAGAUAUCAAGAGGAACACCUGCGGCGAAGGCGGGUUGCUGGGCCGACACUGACGCUGAUGCGCGAAAGCCAGGGGAGCGAACGGG